UACGUAGGAGACGAGCGUUGUCCGGAGUUACUGGGCGUAAAGGGUGCGCAGGCGGCCUGGCGCGUCGCGAGUGAAAUCUCCUGGCUCAACUGGGAGGGUGGUCGCGAGACGGCUGGGCUUGAGGCUCGGUGAGGGGCGUGGAAUUCCGGGUGGAGCGGUGAAAUGCGUAGAGAUCCGGAAGAACACCGGUGGCGAAGGCGGUCUGCUGGGCCAGUACUGACGCUGAGGCGCGACAGCGUGGGGAGCAAACAGG
rnacentral:rRNA from 1 species